CUAGGUGUGGGACCCUAUCGACGGGUUCUGUGCCGUAGCUAACGCAUUAAGUGCCCCGCCUGGGGAGUACGGCCGCAAGGCUAAAACUCAAAGGAAUUGACGGGGGCCCGCACAAGCGGCGGAGCAUGUUGCUUAAUUCGAUGCAACGCGAAGAACCUUACCUAGGCUUGACAUGUAGCGAAAAGCCGUAGAGAUACGGUGUCCUUCGGGGCGCUACACAGGUGGUGCAUGGUUGUCGUCAGCUCGUGUCGUGAGAUGUUGGGUUAAGUCCCGCAACGAGCGCAACCCUUGUCCUAUGUUGCCAGCGGGUAAUGCCGGGGACUCGUAGGAGACUGCCGGGGUCAACUCGGAGGAAGGUGGGGAUGACGUCAAAUCAUCAUGCCCCUUACGUCUAGGGCUGCAAACAUGCUACAAUGGCCGGUACAAAGGGCUGCUAUUCCGCGAGGAUGAGCGAAUCCCAAAAAGCCGGUCUCAGUUCGGAUUGGAGUCUGCAACUCGACUCCAUGAAGUCGGAGUCGCUAGUAAUCCCGGAUCAGCACUGCCGGGGUGAAUACGUUCCCGGGCCUUGUACACACCGCCCGUCACACCACGAAAGUUGGCAA
rnacentral:rRNA from 1 species